rnacentral:rRNA from 1 species
AUGGGAGGCAGCAGUGGGGAAUAUUGGACAAUGGGGGAAACCCUGAUCCAGCGACGCCGCGUGAGUGAAGAAGUAUUUCGGUAUGUAAAGCUCUAUCAGCAGGAAAGAAAAUGACGGUACCUGACUAAGAAGCCCCGGCUAACUACGUGCCAGCAGCCGCGGUAAUACGUAGGGGGCAAGCGUUAUCCGGAUUUACUGGGUGUAAAGGGAGCGUAGACGGCUUUGCAAGUCUGAAGUGAAAGCCCGGGGCUCAACCCCGGAACUGCUUUGGAAACUGUAGAGCUGGAGUGCAGGAGAGGUAAGUGGAAUUCCUAGUGUAGCGGUGAAAUGCGUAGAUAUUAGGAGGAACACCAGUGGCGAAGGCGGCUUACUGGACUGUAACUGACGUUGAGGCUCGAAGGCGUGGGGAGCAAACAGGAUUAGAUACCCUGGUA